UGGAGGCAGGUGAGCACACGUGUCCUGACCCCGGGAGGCAGAGGGGCUGCUGGGGGCGCUGCCUGUGGGAUGGAGGCGGCCAGUUCCAUCUCCCAGCACAGCCAGGGCCCCGUUGUUUGGGGGCUCCCCACUUUGGGGCUCCCCUAAGGCGGCCAGGACCAUGUGUGGCCUCAGGCUGCGGCCAUGAAAGGAACAGCCCGGCUGCGGCCAUGAAAGGAACAACUGCGCCCUCGUGUGGCCUCGCAGGUGCGGGCGGGGCGCUGCUGCGGCCGGAGGGCGCGGAGCUGGGCCUGGAGCUCGGCCUCCACAAGACGCGCGUCCUGGGGGGCUUUGAGCUCGAGGGGGUGUGUCGGCUGCCAGACCAGUCCCCUCCGGGAGCUGGAGACGGGGUGCCCGGGUCCGAGGAGGCCGCCUCCUGGAGGCCGUCCGGGUGGGGCUCCCGGAAGAGGCUGCUGUCCCCCGAGGACACGGAGUGUGAAGCCAAGAGGGCCUGUGAGCCGCGGGGAGAGGCCCCGGAGGCCCGGGGCGAGGCCAGGUCUCCAGGCAACGAGGAGCCGUGGGUUCUGGGCUCCACGCCCCCUCCUGGCCGCGCCGUGCGCAGCGGCCUCUCCGCCCGCGGCCUCCAGGCCCUGACCCAGUCCCCGCUGCUGCUCCCCGGGAGGACGCCCGCCGCACAGGGCACCGCCGCCCCAGGCCCAUCUAGACACGACCAGAGGUGGCCGUGGGCACCGCCCUGGGAGGAGGGAGUGGCAGGAUCCGCUUCGGAGGAACGGAGGCCAGCUCCCGGCCGGCUGUCAGUGAGGCAGGACUCUUUCGUGGUGGACGAACACGGCCCCGUACCGGUCAGGCCCGGCCCCAAGGCCACUGUGGACCACAGCGGGCUCCUCUGCAGUGUACACGCCCUGCUCCCAGCAUACGGUGCACUGUGUGGCCACACUGAUGAGGACACAGUGGUCACCGCUGUCUGUAAGAGCCCGGACCGGCUUCAGCGGGGUCUCAGGCUGCACGUCGCUCCGAGAGACAAGCCCCUGACCGCUCUGCUGUGAGCCUGAGCCACCUGCGGCCGCCCGUCUCUGUCCUUCAGUGCGCUCCGCCGGGUGGCCUUUGCCGGAGCCCAGGACCCACUGGAAUCGCAUCACCCCGCCCCCCGGUUCCAAGAACAGCACCAUUUCUACGUUAAAACAACUCCAGAAACGCUCCUAGGACGCCCUCAGGAAACUUGGAGCAACACCCAAAGCCAUGGACCAUCUGCUCCUGACACCCAGCAGCGCGACCCUCAGCACAGGGGCCCGGCCGCCUCGAUAACACCGACUCCGGGGCCGUGUACCCACAGUGGAAUCUUAACCCCCAUCACAUCCGGACAGGAUGGAACCCCGCACCGCUGCUGGGCAAACACCAAGACCAUCUCAUUUCUCUUAGCCGUCAUCUCCCUCCUCUCCCCUCAUCAGCCUUCCGCUGCAGAAAGAAUAAACUAAUUUUGGCCUCGGGUCCCCUCCAUACAUGUCCCUCGGGGACCAUGGGGUGGAAUGUUAAAAUAACGUAACCGCUCUAACGUAUGAGGUCAUUAUUGUGUGAAAUGUUUGCUGUAUGGAAACCCCAAUACUCUAACUUCCAACAUUAAUGAACACCCCACUAUCCUGAUGUCCAAGCUCUGCGCCCUUAAAAGUGUAAAGGCCCUGCUCCCAGCACAAGGCGCAGUCAGGCCACGCUGAUGAGGACACAGUGGUCUCCGCGUCUAUGUGAGCCCCGCCCGUCGCUCUGAGAGACCAGCCCUGACGGUGUGGGCCUGAGCCAGCUGCUGCCGCCCGCCCACCUGCCUUCGUCGUCCGCCCUUCGGUGCGCUGCACCCGGUGGCUUUGCCGGAGCCCAGGACCCACUGGAAUCGGUGAAUACACCUGUGUGAAUGCACACUGAGUCUGUGAGUGUCAUGUGUUCCGGUUCGGCUCGGCUGUCUAGACAUUGCAGCAGCAGGGGACAGGCCGUGACUGCCUUUGUCAGCUGAUUGUAGGCACAUAAUUAACUGGGCAUAAUCGGGACAGGAACAGGCGGAGGCGCAAACAGACGGGAAGCCGGAGGAUGGGCCUCGUGGUUUGGCUCAAUGACAGAGCAUCAGCCUGCGGACCGAGGGGUCCGAGGAUCCGCUUCGGAGGGGCUGAGGCCAGCUCCCGCUGGCUGUCAGUGAGGCA